GUGGGGAAUAUUGGACAAUGGGCGCAAGCCUGAUCCAGCCAUGCCGCGUGAGUGAUGAAGGCCUUAGGGUUGUAAAGCUCUUUCAGUGGGGACGAUAAUGACGGUACCCACAGAAGAAGCCCCGGCUAACUUCGUGCCAGCAGCCGCGGUAAUACGAAGGGGGCUAGCGUUGUUCGGAUUUACUGGGCGUAAAGCGCACGUAGGCGGAUCGUUAAGUCGGGGGUGAAAUCCUGGAGCUCAACUCCAGAACUGCCUUCGAUAAUGGCGAUCUUGAGUCCGGAAGAGGUGAGUGGAACUCCUAGUGUAGAGGUGGAAUUCGUAGAUAUUAGGAAGAACACCAGUGGCGAAGGCGGCUCACUGGUCCGGUACUGACGCUGAGGUGCGAAAGCGUGGGGAGCAAACAGGAUUAGAUACCCGAGUAGUCC
rnacentral:rRNA from 1 species